CGGCUCAUUAUAUCAGCAAUAAUUUAUUUGAUGGUUCCUUACUACNUGGAUAACUGUAGUAAUUCUAGAGCUAAUACNUGCGUAAAGUCCCGACUCUCGCGGGGAGGGAUGUAUUUAUUAGAUAAAAAACCAAUGCGGGUUCUGCCCGGUUUUGUGGUGAAUCAUAGUAACUUUUCGAAUCGCAUGGCUUCACGNCGGCGAUAGUUCAUUCAAAUUUCUGCCCUAUCAGCUUUCGACGGUAGUGUAGUGGACUACCGUGGCGUUAACGGGUAACGGAGAAUUAGGGUUCGAUUCCGGAGAGGGAGCCUGAGAAACGGCUACCACAUCCAAGGAAGGCAGCAGGCGCGCAAAUUACCCAAUUCUGACACAGAGAGGUAGUGACAAAAAAUAACAAUACCUGGCCUUUUUAGGUCGGGUAAUUGGAAUGAGUACAAUUUAAAUCCCUUAACGAGGAUCCAUU
rnacentral:rRNA from 1 species